GGAAAGAAAAGAAGUCGCUGUAAUAGUAUCGUCUUAUAAUACAUGGAGCGUCUAUAGGCCGGUCAUUUCAGUUUUUUUGAAACGUACCGUGCCGACAACUAGGCAGACCGAUGCAUUGUAUUAGAGUUUCGCUGUAGAGUUGUUGGAAAAAAAUUUGUGUACACCCGUUAAACGGCGUAUGGCUCACGGCCGCAAACCGCGGGGGCACGCUCGAC